AGAGUUUGAUCAUGGCUCAGAUUGAACGCUGGCGGCAGGCUUAACACAUGCAAGUCGAGCGGUAACAGGGGUAGCUUGCUACCCGCUGACGAGCGGCGGACGGGUGAGUAAUGCUUAGGAAUCUGCCUGGUAGUGGGGGAUAGCCCGGGGAAACCCGGAUUAAUACCGCAUACGUCCUACGGGAGAAAGCAGGGGAUCUUCGGACCUUGCGCUAUCGGAUGAGCCUAAGUCGGAUUAGCUAGUUGGUGGGGUAAAGGCCUACCAAGGCGACGAUCCGUAGCUGGUCUGAGAGGAUGAUCAGCCACAUCGGGACUGAGACACGGCCCGAACUCCUACGGGAGGCAGCAGUGGGGAAUAUUGGACAAUGGGGGCAACCCUGAUCCAGCCAUGCCGCGUGAGUGAAGAAGGCCUUAGGGUUGUAAAGCUCUUUCAGUGGUGAAGAUGAUGACGGUAGCCACAGAAGAAGCCCCGGCUAACUCCGUGCCAGCAGCCGCGGUAAUACGGAAGGGGCAAGCGUUGUUCGGAAUUACUGGGCGUAAAGGGCGCGUAGGCGGAUAUUCAAGUCAGAGGUGAAAGCCCCGGGCUCAACCUGGGAGUUGCCUUUGAAACUGGGUAUCUGGAGUUCGGGAGAGGUGAGCGGAAUUCCCAGUGUAGAGGUGAAAUUCGUAGAUAUUGGGAAGAACACCGGUGGCGAAGGCGGCUCACUGGCCCGCAACUGACGCUGAGGCGCGAAAGCGUGGGGAGCAAA
rnacentral:rRNA from 1 species